rnacentral:lncRNA from 1 species
AUUUGGUUGGAGUUUAAGAAGUCUGAGAGGAAUGGUUUAAUCUGUAUAUGAAUGUCAGUUAAAUUGGUAAAUUACUUUUGGUUACAUAACCAUGAAGUUCCAUUAGCUGGUGUCCAAGUAUAGUAACUACAUUGUAGGAAGAUAUUAUUUGUUUCUCAGCUUCAAAGCAUUUAUUUACAAGUAUCUAGAGGCCUCUUGUGAUAGAAUUCAUAUCUAUUGUGAAUUUCCUAUUUAUCUGGAGGAGGAAGAUGGAAAAUAUAUUUGCAUAACAAUGAAUUGGUAUAUUCUUGUAGAUCAUUCAUCUCUAAAGAUUUCUCGCGUGCAUACUUCAUUUUCUCCAUAGGAUUGCCUCAAUGUGAGUGCAUGUGUUGCUGUUGAUAAACCUUAUGUAUGAAAUUAGAUAUUGAUUGUUAGGAUAUUACUUUGUCCUGCUGAGUUGCAUAAUGUCAACCACUUUGAAUGUUAUCGUGUAUUCGAAAAGGCUAAUUAGAAAAGAAAAAUGAAUUCGUUCUAGAUGGUAAUGUCAUUUGCUAAGGGUGUUCUGAAAGUUAAGAGAUGUCAAGUUCCUGGCUAUUGAUCUUUGUGAAGUUAUGCACCAUUGUUAAUCGUGUUCGAUUGCAAAUUGAAGUGGUUAUAUUCAUGCUUUUAGAUAUUCUAUUUCUUGUACAUAUUAUAAACAUGCUUUUACAUGUGCCUUAAUUGGAAUGUGAGCAACAACUCAAAUAAUUUUGCAUUGUCAUCUUGUAGUUUAAAGAGUUCGGUCCAAAUAAAAUGAUAUGUCUAAAUACUUUUUAUUUUUCAAUUAUUAUGUUACUCACAUUUUAACUAACUAUCCAUAAUGAGUUUUAUACAUAUAACACACAUUAUUUGUUAGUUAUAAUUUAACAUUAAUGGGUGAUGGUUUAAUGAUACAAGAAGGAAGUUCUGUAAAAGCAACAGGAAGAAUUGCUCAGGUUCAACAAGGGACCUGUAGAUUGAAUGAGUAACCAAUGGGUCAAAAUUAAUGACGUAUAAUUUAACUUCCAAAUCAUGUCUGGUAACUAUGCCGCUAUCCCUCUUGCCCCAACUUAUAUUUUCUUAUACCCCUUUUGCAUAGUGAAUACAUCAAGCACAUCCUGUUCUUAAUGUGUAUUAUUUGUUCGUAUUGGUGUAGUAGGUUUCAUUUAUAUUUUGAGCCCUUGUUUGAGCCACAUUAUUGAAAUGAAAAUGCAUUUUUGAAUGGUGUAUUGAUGGAAAAUGUGGUUAAAAAUGAGGAAAAAUUUUGGAUUUGCGUGUAAUAUUAUUUUAUUGAAAAUGUGUGGUUAAAAUGAUGUCAAAUCAUUGUUGAAUAAUGCAUUUUUUUCAAAUAAUGUGGUUCAAAUAGGGCCUGAGUAAUGCUAUUUAGCCCCACUGGGGUUGCAAUUUUCAUUUUUCAUUUAAUCUAUCAUUAAAUGUUACUAAAAUUGGGAUUGCAAUUUCAAUGGGGUUACAUAGCAUUACUCGUAUAUAAAUGUCAAUUAAAUAGAAACAGAUGAUAUUGAGUUUCAGAAGAGUACUAGAAAUAUUUCCAUUCUCAAACACGAAUUCGAAGAGGUUGGAGCAUGUUGGCUGCAGUUGGUCCUUGCUGGUGCAGAAAAUAGUGGUUGAGUUGCUCAAAAUCAAUUGUUUGAUUUCCUUGUGAAUCCAUAAUUGGGAUGAAGCUUCAAACUUUGAUCCAACAAAUUUACAGCCUUCUUUGUACUGGCCCAAACCGGCUGGUUAAGUCCAAUUUGCAUAAUUCAAUUCUGUUUGUGAAAAUUAAAAUUGAGAAUCUUGAUUCUUGGUUAUAAUACUUAGGUCCCGUUUGUUUCUCAUUUUUAUAAGAAUAAAAAUAAAAAAUAUAGUUGUUAUGGGCUUCUACAUGAGAUAGAAUUCAAAUAUGGUAACUUGAUGUAAUGGAUAAAUGUCAUAUUUUUCAUUUUAAUGAGAAAAGAAUGGGAAACAAACAUGGACUUAUAAUUGGAAAUCUGGUCUAGUUUGAUGUGUAAUAUAUCGAUGGUCGUUGUGAAUUUGAUUAGUCUUGGGAUCGAGUUGUGACAAUGUGUAUAGGUUUGGGACUAGUGCUGCAAUUUUCCUAUAUUACUUUUUUUCCCAGAAAGAAAGAAAUAUAUCCGAAUCUCCUUUAUAGAAUCUUUUAUGUUUAUGAAAUCGUUGUGUCAUGCAACAAUAUAUAUUACAACUGCGUAGCGCUAUUUUUUUUCUCAAUUAAGACUGAAAGUUCAACCAUCCACCAAUUGAGCCCUGUUUAGCUCCCAUUGUUUUCAAAUUUUAAUGGCCAACUGCGAAGGUGUGGCCGCAGAUGGUGUUGAUGGGGCAGAAGAAAUGGCUGACUGGUGGGUUGUGAGAAUGCUGGUGGAGUCAACUGUGGAGAUGUGGCAGCGGUUGGCAGUGAUGGGGACGGUGUUGAUUAGAUGACAUUAUCAGGUGGAGAGCUGGCAGCAGUUGGCGGUGAUGGGGUAGUGUCGAUUUAUGACAUUGCGAUCAGAGAAAUUGAGUAUUGCUUCGUCGCAUCUGAACCUCAAGGCGGCCACAUCGUAUGCUUUGGCAGUAGCCUCGACUGUGUUCAAUGUUCUUAAUCAAUUACUGAAGGUUUCUUUGUGGAUCCCUUCUAUUUGCUGAUCAUCUGCCCAAUGGCGUUUGUCUAAUUCCUCUGAAGGAUUAAGCCAAAUGACAACAUUGUUUGACACAGUACUCACAGCCGAGGUGUGGGUCCCGCGUGAAUAAAAUAAUGCCGACCUCCCAUGUGAGUGUGUUGUGUCAACCAAUGUGUCAAAUUUUGUGGUAGUAUAGCAUGGUCUUUCCUCUGAAUCUUCUUUCUGUCUUGUUUCUUCACAUGUGGUAGUGUAGCAUGGUCUUUCCUCUGAAUCUUCUUUCUGUCUUGUUUCUUCAUGUGAAGGCCCGUACAUAUUUGAUUCUGGCGUUUUUGCUUGGUCCUGGCGACAGGUAUCUGUAGGUUUUGCAAUAUUUGUUCCAGUCUCUCGUUCUGUUGGAAUAAAACAUUACACAAAAUAACUGUUGUAAGUAGCUUCGCUUUGCUGAAUAGUUUUCCUUGAGAAUGUAUAUAAUAACACAACUAAAUAAAGAUUAAAAAUCGAUGGCCUUUAGGAAAGUCACGUAAAAUACUAUCCUAAAUUCGUAUUAG